rnacentral:rRNA from 1 species
UACGUAGGUCCCGAGCGUUAUCCGGAUUUAUUGGGCGUAAAGCGAGCGCAGGCGGCUGGAUAAGUCUGAAGUUAAAGGCUGUGGCUUAACCAUAGUAUGCUUUGGAAACUGUUCAACUUGAGUGCAGAAGGGGAGAGUGGAAUUCCAUGUGUAGCGGUGGAAUGCGUAGAUAUAUGGAGGAACACCGGUGGCGAAAGCGGCUCUCUGGUCUGUAACUGACGCUGAGGCUCGAAAGCGUGGGUAGCGAACAGG